ACGUUGGAAAAGCGCAAUCUGUACGGUAUAUGAUAAUCAUUGCGAAUCCUCUCCUUAAGCUCCAUCUCCGUAUCCCUCUUGACCUUCGUCUUGAACGCUUUCAUCAUUUGCACAACUUGUUUCACAUCUACUUUUGAUGCCUCAGCUAUCUCCAUCAUCCGUUUUGAUCAAUAAACCAUGCAUAAACAUGCCAUAACUUAUUAUUACCUUCAUCUGUCAUGGACUCCAUUAUUGUCGUGUGCAGCCUAAUCUUCUCGUCGUCUACCUUUGAAGAAGUACAAGGACCAAGGCGGGAAAGCAACUACAAUGAAUUUGGUAGAAAGUUACGAUGUCUUGUAUUCGCUAUAGUAA